GCAGCCCUGCAGGACUCAACGCGCCGCCUGGCCCAGUGGCAGGACGGCCAGUGGCUUUAACACAACCUGGACCCACGCUGGGCAGGCGAGGGGCACUGGCCUGCGCUGUGCGCGAGACGCAGGGUCCAUCCCUCCCCGGCCCUGAGCACGGCGCUCGGUUACUGCUCUGAGUGACACCAACAAACGGGGCUGCGCUCACAUGAUCACGUUUAUUCGCUACCGGGAAGUUCUAAGCAAAAUCAGGCUCCGGUGGGGCCUCAGAAAACACAUGAGAAGCGGAAUCGCUGACCCCCAAUCCGGGGAGCCGAACUGGUCCUGGCUGUAACGCCAGUGAGGCAAUGGGAUGAAUGGAAACCCAAGUGAACAAUGACCCGGAAACCCCAAAGGGCUGAUUGUCCGUUCUGGUCCCUUUGCCCCAAUCCAGCUGUGGGCAGCGGACUUAGGGUAAAGGGGGAUCGGGAGCUGAGAUCGCAGCCCCACCCGCGCUUCCAUUGGAUGGGGUGGCAGAAACCGGAUCGAGGCAGGAGGCAGAGUCUGGGAGCUGGGAGGGGGAAUCUCCCUCGUCCCUUGAGCUUUAGCCGAGAGGUUUAAGAGAAAAAAAUCACAUUGGUUGGCUCUAGUGAUGCAGCUGGAGAUGGGAGAGGAGGAAGCUGGGCAGUGGCUGGGGAAGAGGGCAGGAGGGAGUGAAAGGAUCCGGGGAGCAAAGGGGCAGGGAAGGGGGGAAAGGAGGUGGGGGGGAAAGGGAAGGAGUGGAUGGGAGCUUGCGGGUGAAUGGAAGGAGGGAAAGGAGGCAGAGGGGGAAGGAGGAACGGAGGAGGCUGGGCCGGAGGAGGCAGAGGGGGAUGGAGGAACGGAGGAGGCUGGGCCGGAGGAGGCAGAGGGGGAUGGAGGAACGGAGGAGGCUGGGCCGGAGGAGGCAGAGGGGGAAGGAGGAACGGAGGAGGCUGGGCCGGAGGAGGCAGAGGGGGAAGGAGGAACGGAGGAGGCUGGUGGGGAUGGAGGAACGGAGGAGGCUGGGCCGGAGGAGGCAGAGGGGGAAGGAGGAACGGAGGAGGCUGGUGGGGAUGGAGGAACGGAGGAGGCUGGGCCGGAGGAGGCAGGGUGGGGAUGGAGGAACGGAGGAGGCUGGGCCGGAGGAGGCAGAGGGGGAUGGAGGAACGGAGGAGGCUGGGCUGGAGGAGGCAGAGGGGGAUGGAGGAACGGAGGAG